UUCUUCUGCUCACUUCUCCUAGGAUCUUCAGCUCCAUCAUGUGAACUUUGCAGCCAAACCCACCGUGGACCUCACCAUCCUCAAACAGGUUUUCCUGUUUAUGAGGUAGGAGGUCCAAGAGUGAUUGUUCAGCCUGCAGAACCAAGUCACCUCCUGGCUAACCUGCUGAUCACAGCUUUGAGUCUUCCAGCAGAAGGUUUUCCAUCACUUUUCAACUUCAGAGUAUAUGAAAACCAAUGAGGCCUGUGUUCUUCUAAUCAUCCCAUGGAAGCUCGAAGGUGUUCCUGUUCCAGCUGCUUUUGGGAGGAGGAUGCUUUGGACUGAGCACGUUUCUUUAUAUACCCCUGGACAUUUUUAAAGGAAGGAAUGUGGGUUGUAUUUGUGAUCUGAGAAAUCACAGUGUUCUCAUUGGCCUCUCUGGGGAUUGUUCACCAAUGCUUUCUUUUCUCUGCCAAACUUAAACAUUUCUCCUGAGGAAACAUUCAGUUUCUAAAUCUGCAUAAUCCUGCCUUGGUAAGUUCAUAAAAAAGUCUGGUUUAGCCUUACUUCUUUCAAUGGCUGGGAUUUUUUUGAGGAAAGUCAAGUC
rnacentral:lncRNA from 1 species